rnacentral:rRNA from 1 species
UCAAAUUUGAAAUCUGGCACCUUCGGUGUCCGAGUUGUAAUUUGAAGAAGGUAACUUUGGAGUUGGCUCUUGUCUAUGUUCCUUGGAACAGGACGUCACAGAGGGUGAGAAUCCCGUGCGAUGAGAUGUCCAACUCUAUGUAAAGUGCUUUCGAAGAGUCGAGUUGUUUGGGAAUGCAGCUCUAAGUGGGUGGUAAAUUCCAUCUAAAGCUAAAUAUUGGCGAGAGACCGAUAGCGAACAAGUACAGUGAUGGAAAGAUGAAAAGAACUUUGAAAAGAGAGUGAAAAAGUACGUGAAAUUGUUGAAAGGGAAGGGUUUGAGAUCAGACUUGGUAUUUUGUAUGUCUUGCUUUCGGGUGGGGCCUCUGCAGUUUACUGGGCCAGCAUCGGUUUGGACGGUAGGAUAAUGACAUUGGAAUGUGGCACUACUUCGGUGGUGUGUUAUAGACUUUGUUGAUACUGCCUGUCUAGACCGAGGACUGCGUCUUUGACUAGGAUGCUGGCAUAAUGAUCCUAAACCGCCC